rnacentral:rRNA from 1 species
UACGUAGGGGGCUAGCGUUGUCCGGAAUCAUUGGGCGUAAAGCGCGUGUAGGCGGUCCGGUAAGUCCGCUGUGAAAGUCGGGGGCUCAACCCUCGGAUGCCGGUGGAUACUGUCGGGCUUGAGUACGGAAGAGGCGAGUGGAAUUCCUGGUGUAGCGGUGAGAUGCGCAGAUAUCAGGAGGAACACCAAUUGCGAAGACAGCUCGCUGGGACGUUACUGACGCUGAGACGCGAAAGCGUGGGGAGCAAACAGG